GUAAGCGCUAGAGCAGCGGACACCUACUUGUUGAACCUCGGAGUUCUCCUGUUCGAUAAACCUUAUAGUCCUUGUGUGAGGAAAACUUGAUGCUGACUACAUCUCAACCUUGCAUUUGAGAUAAGUAACGAGGGGGCGAGAAGUAUUUACAUUCUCUCGUCAUCAAGCAAAGUUUUUGACGCCGUUGCCGGGGACUCCAGUCUUCAAGGUAGGGGAGUUGCACACCAUCCUUUACCUUUGUUUUUCAGUCUUGCUAGUUUGCUUUCUAGUUUUUGCUUUAGAGUCUUAUACCAAAAAUCACAAAAAAAUAGUUGCUUAGUUUUGUCACUAUGUCUAAGUCCUUUGCCUUUGGUGUUGCACCUCAAGGAGGGAUUCUCACCUUCAAACAAAGGGGUGGAGAAAGUUUGAAAGAUGCUUGAUAUAGAAUUAAUGAUUCUCUAGAUAGAGCCACCAAGAAACAAUCCAGCACUAUUUGCUUAGAAAUUUUUAUGUUGGUAUUACUUCUUGGAAUAGGUUUGUACUAGACACAGCAAUAGGUGGGAAUUUCUUGGAAUCUCCCGUUUGGGAGGCUUUCAACAUUAUGAAAAAUAUUGUCGUAAUCCCACCAAUUAUUGAUAUAAAGGAUAAUAUCACUUUAGCUCAUAUGAUGAGUAAACUUGAGAAUAUAGAGCUAGAGAUGCCAAGCAUUGGCAAGAUAAAUGAAGUAGAACAUAUGAUUCAAGGGAACUUAAAUAGACUAGAUAACUCCAUGCACAAAAUUUGCAAAACUUUGGAGACCCUUAAAUCCCAUGAUAUGGAUCCUUCUUGAUAAGAUAGAGGAUAUUAUUGAAACUUUAGGAACUACUCGAUCCUCCAUCAAGACUAAAAAGGUAGAAACCCCCGCAAGGGAGGGACCUAAGUUCAAGGUUCCUCAAGCGAAAACAAGUAUACCUUUCGCUAAGGGUGUUGAAACUGUCAAGACCUUGGAAGAGGUACCUCUCCUAAAUAGAAUUAGAAAUGAAAUUCAAAUUGGUCUUACUACCUUUGCUUUUGUUCCUAGAAGUGUUGCCACUAAGCCUCUCUUUGAGAGUCCUCUUAAGACUAGUUGUACUAUUGAAGAGAUUUUUGAUGAUCUUGAUGAUGGUUCAAUUGAUACAACUUGAUUUUUUGCAUCAUGCCUAGCUCAAACGCAUAAAAUAAAGCGCUUGUUGGGAGGCAACCCAAUUUAUUUGUACUUUCAGUUUUAGUGGUCUUGAUGUUUGUUACUACUGUAGCAACAUCAUUGUAUCUUUAUUUUCAAGCUUUGUGCCAAGGUAUAGCCUCUGAUUGCAAGAAAGUGCAAAAAUUAUGACAUGCUGUCCAGAAACAGACUGUGUCUGCCUGAUAGAAAAAUUUGCCAUAAAUCACCAGAUCAUCUUUUUGCGCUGAAUUCUUUUGAUAGCAUGAUCUAUAUAAUUGACUUUCUGGCGUUUGUUCAGAUUUUUUUUAUUUGAGUUGCAGAAGUGCCACUAAAAAAUUAUUUCCUACCUGUUGUUCUGUUUUUCCCAGAUUCUGCCCAGUUUUGUGUUUUCAUUGUUUUGCGAAUCUUAAGCUUGCUUUAUAUUUGCAAAAAUCUUUUGACAAUCUUGAGAAAUAGUAGCUCUUUAUAAAAAUCUUUAUUUUCAGUAGGGAAAAAUUAUUUUAUUUUGGACACUAACCACUCUAAUCAGCUUAUGAUGAUUUUCGUAUGAAGGGAGUUUUCAAGUAUGCGAUGGAAGAUGAUCAAAGAACAUUAGGAGUGUCAAGCGCUCAAGCUUGGGGAUGCCCCCAUGCAGCCCAAAGAAAUAUUCAAGGAGACUGAAGCGUCUAAUCUUGGGGAUGCCCCCGUGCAUCCCCUUUUCCAUCAACAAUCAUCAGUUCGUCCAUCUCCAUGCUAUAUUUUUAUCACUUCAUAUGUUAUGUGCUAUGCUUGGAGCGUCUCGAACUUUACUUUUUAGUUUUUUUAGUUUUGCUUGCUGUUCAUAACAAGUCGGACCCUAUCCUUCCUUGCUUGGGAGAGAA
rnacentral:lncRNA from 1 species